rnacentral:rRNA from 1 species
GGGUUGUGAGGUUAAGCGACUAAGCGUACACGGUGGAUGCCCUGGCAGUCAGAGGCGAUGAAGGACGUGCUAAUCUGCGAUAAGCGUCGGUAAGGUGAUAUGAACCGUUAUAACCGGCGAUUUCCGAAUGGGGAAACCCAGUGUGUUUCGACACACUAUCAUUAACUGAAUCCAUAGGUUAAUGAGGCGAACCGGGGGAACUGAAACAUCUAAGUACCCCGAGGAAAAGAAAUCAACCGAGAUUCCCCCAGUAGCGGCGAGCGAACGGGGAGCAGCCCAGAGCCUGAAUCAGUAUGUGUGUUAGUGGAAGCGUCUGGAAAGGCGCGCGAUACAGGGUGACAGCCCCGUACACAAAAAUGCACAUAUUGUGAGCUCGAUGAGUAGGGCGGGACACGUGGUAUCCUGUCUGAAUAUGGGGGGACCAUCCUCCAAGGCUAAAUACUCCUGACUGACCGAUAGUGAACCAGUACCGUGAGGGAAAGGCGAAAAGAACCCCGGCGAGGGGAGUGAAAAAGAACCUGAAACCGUGUACGUACAAGCAGUGGGAGCACGCUUAGGCGUGUGACUGCGUACCUUUUGUAUAAUGGGUCAGCGACUUAUAUUCUGUAGCAAGGUUAACCGAAUAGGGGAGCCGAAGGGAAACCGAGUCUUAACUGGGCGUUAAGUUGCAGGGUAUAGACCCGAAACCCGGUGAUCUAGCCAUGGGCAGGUUGAAGGUUGGGUAACACUAACUGGAGGACCGAACCGACUAAUGUUGAAAAAUUAGCGGAUGACUUGUGGCUGGGGGUGAAAGGCCAAUCAAACCGGGAGAUAGCUGGUUCUCCCCGAAAGCUAUUUAGGUAGCGCCUCGUGAACUCAUCUCCGGGGGUAGAGCACUGUUUCGGCAAGGGGGUCAUCCCGACUUACCAACCCGAUGCAAACUGCGAAUACCGGAGAAUGUUAUCACGGGAGACACACGGCGGGUGCUAACGUCCGUCGUGAAGAGGGAAACAACCCAGACCGCCAGCUAAGGUCCCAAAGUCAUGGUUAAGUGGGAAACGAUGUGGGAAGGCCCAGACAGCCAGGAUGUUGGCUUAGAAGCAGCCAUCAUUUAAAGAAAGCGUAAUAGCUCACUGGUCGAGUCGGCCUGCGCGGAAGAUGUAACGGGGCUAAACCAUGCACCGAAGCUGCGGCAGCGACGCUGAUGCGUUGUUGGGUAGGGGAGCGUUCUGUAAGCCUGUGAAGGUGUGCUGUGAGGCAUGCUGGAGGUAUCAGAAGUGCGAAUGCUGACAUAAGUAACGAUAAAGCGGGUGAAAAGCCCGCUCGCCGGAAGACCAAGGGUUCCUGUCCAACGUUAAUCGGGGCAGGGUGAGUCGACCCCUAAGGCGAGGCCGAAAGGCGUAGUCGAUGGGAAACAGGUUAAUAUUCCUGUACUUGGUGUUACUGCGAAGGGGGGACGGAGAAGGCUAUGUUGGCCGGGCGACGGUUGUCCCGGUUUAAGCGUGUAGGCUGGUUUUCCAGGCAAAUCCGGAAAAUCAAGGCUGAGGCGUGAUGACGAGGCACUACGGUGCUGAAGCAACAAAUGCCCUGCUUCCAGGAAAAGCCUCUAAGCAUCAGGUAACAUCAAAUCGUACCCCAAACCGACACAGGUGGUCAGGUAGAGAAUACCAAGGCGCUUGAGAGAACUCGGGUGAAGGAACUAGGCAAAAUGGUGCCGUAACUUCGGGAGAAGGCACGCUGAUAUGUAGGUGAAGUCCCUUGCGGAUGGAGCUGAAAUCAGUCGAAGAUACCAGCUGGCUGCAACUGUUUAUUAAAAACACAGCACUGUGCAAACACGAAAGUGGACGUAUACGGUGUGACGCCUGCCCGGUGCCGGAAGGUUAAUUGAUGGGGUCAGCGCAAGCGAAGCUCUUGAUCGAAGCCCCGGUAAACGGCGGCCGUAACUAUAACGGUCCUAAGGUAGCGAAAUUCCUUGUCGGGUAAGUUCCGACCUGCACGAAUGGCGUAAUGAUGGCCAGGCUGUCUCCACCCGAGACUCAGUGAAAUUGAACUCGCUGUGAAGAUGCAGUGUACCCGCGGCAAGACGGAAAGACCCCGUGAACCUUUACUAUAGCUUGACACUGAACAUUGAGCCUUGAUGUGUAGGAUAGGUGGGAGGCUUUGAAGUGUGGACGCCAGUCUGCAUGGAGCCGACCUUGAAAUACCACCCUUUAAUGUUUGAUGUUCUAACGUUGACCCGUGAUCCGGGUUGCGGACAGUGUCUGGUGGGUAGUUUGACUGGGGCGGUCUCCUCCUAAAGAGUAACGGAGGAGCACGAAGGUUGGCUAAUCCUGGUCGGACAUCAGGAGGUUAGUGCAAUGGCAUAAGCCAGCUUGACUGCGAGCGUGACGGCGCGAGCAGGUGCGAAAGCAGGUCAUAGUGAUCCGGUGGUUCUGAAUGGAAGGGCCAUCGCUCAACGGAUAAAAGGUACUCCGGGGAUAACAGGCUGAUACCGCCCAAGAGUUCAUAUCGACGGCGGUGUUUGGCACCUCGAUGUCGGCUCAUCACAUCCUGGGGCUGAAGUAGGUCCCAAGGGUAUGGCUGUUCGCCAUUUAAAGUGGUACGCGAGCUGGGUUUAGAACGUCGUGAGACAGUUCGGUCCCUAUCUGCCGUGGGCGCUGGAGAACUGAGGGGGGCUGCUCCUAGUACGAGAGGACCGGAGUGGACGCAUCACUGGUGUUCGGGUUGUCAUGCCAAUGGCACUGCCCGGUAGCUAAAUGCGGAAGAGAUAAGUGCUGAAAGCAUCUAAGCACGAAACUUGCCCCGAGAUGAGUUCUCCCUGACUCCUUGAGAGUCCUGAAGGAACGUUGAAGACGACGACGUUGAUAGGCCGGGUGUGUAAGCGCAGCGAUGCGUUGAGCUAACCGGUACUAAUGAACCGUGAGGCUUAACCUUACAACGCCGAAGGUGUUU